AGAUUGAACGCUGGCGGCAUGCUUUACACAUGCAAGUCGAACGGUAACAGGCCGCAAGGUGCUGACGAGUGGCGAACGGGUGAGUAAUGCAUCGGAACGUGCCCAGUCGUGGGGGGAUAACGCAGCGAAAGCUGUGCUAAUACCGCAUACGAUCUAUGGAUGAAAGCGGGGGACCGAAAGGCCUCGCGCGAUUGGAGCGGCCGAUGUCAGAUUAGCUAGGUUGGUGGGGUAAAGGCCCACCAAGGCGACGAUCUGUAGCUGGUCUGAGAGGACGACCAGCCACACUGGAACUGAGACACGGUCCAGACCCCUACGGGAGGCAGCAGUGGGGAAUUUGGACAAUGGGACGCAAGCCUGAUCCAGCCAACGCCGCGUGCAGGAAGAAGGCGUUCGGUGUAACUGUCUUUGUACGGAACGAAACGUACGUAGGUUAACGUACCGUCGG
rnacentral:rRNA from 1 species